UAGUGGGGGAUAGCCCGGCGAAAGCCGGAUUAAUACCGCAUACGAUCUGAGGAUGAAAGCGGGGGACCUUCGGGCCUCGCGCUAUAGGGUUGGCCGAUGGCUGAUUAGCUAGUUGGUGGGGUAAAGGCCUACCAAGGCGACGAUCAGUAGCUGGUCUGAGAGGACGACCAGCCACACUGGGACUGAGACACGGCCCAGACUCCUACGGGAGGCAGCAGUGGGGAAUUUUGGACAAUGGGCGAAGGCCUGAUCCAGCAAUGCCGCGUGUGUGAAGAAGGCCUUCGGGUUGUAAAGCACUUUUGUCCGGAAAGAAAUCCUUGGUUCUAAUAUAGCCGGGGGAUGACGGUACCGGAAGAAUAAGCACCGGCUAACUACGUGCCAGCAGCCGCGGUAAUACGUAGGGUGCAAGCGUUAAUCGGAAUUACUGGGCGUAAAGCGUGCGCAAGCGGUUUGCUAAGACCGAUGUGAAAUCCCCGGGCUCAACCUGGGAACUGCAUUGGUGACUGGCAGCUAGAGUAUGGCAGAUGGGGGUAGAAUUCCACGUGUAGCAGUGAAAUGCGUAGAGAUGUGGAGGAU
rnacentral:rRNA from 1 species